GUAGGUAUAGUUUAAUAAAAAUGCUAGAUUGUGAUUCUAAAGACAGGGGUUAAAACCCCCUUACCCACC
rnacentral:tRNA from 1 species